AAUAAAAAAAAAAUAAAUAAAAUAAAAUAAAAUAAAUAAAUAAAAAAAAANNNNNNNNNNAAAAAAAAAUAAAUAAAAUAAAAUAAAAUAAAUAAAUAAAAAAAAAAUAAAUAAAAUAAAUAAAUAAAAUAAAAAGUAAUGAAAUUAAAAAAAUUGCAACAUAAAAAUUGGGGAAACGAAAACAAGAUUGUAAACACUACUUUAAAGUUAAUGAUUAAUGCGUAUAAUAAAACAAUCCAAUUUAAGAAUUAAUAAUCUUUGAGAUAUAUAUAUAUAUAAAUAUAUAUAUAUAUAUAUAUAUACUUUUUUUUUUUUAAUAAAACACAAAAAAAGGCUAUUUUUUAAUGAUUUAUAUGCAUUAAGGUUCUAUAUUAUAUUUUUAUUUUGCUUUCAAUUUUUUAUUUUUCUUAAGUUGUUUCAGUUUUAUUUUUUAUUUAUUUUUUGUCCUGUUGUUCUUCUGUUUUUCUGUUCUUCUGUUUUUCUAUUCUUCUGUUCUUCUAUUCUUCUGUUCUUCUGUUCUUCUGUUUUUCUAUUCUUCUAUUCUUCUGUUCUUCUGUUCUUCUGUUCUUCUGUUUUUUUGUCCUUUUUUUUUUUUUUUUUUUUUUUAUGUAAUCCAAUUUGUUAUAUUAUUUAUCAACUCAUUUGUUAUUUUAAAUUCAUUCUAAAAUCUCUGUUUAAAAAAUAUGUCGAGAUUUAUAGCAAAAAUUAGUAUACAGUCAUGUAACGAAAAACAUAUCUUAUUGAAUAGUAUAAGAAGUACAUUUUUGAGGAAUAGUAGUAACAUAUCGAAAAGGGGAUAUACUACAUUAUUUUAUUUAAAAAUAAAAAAUAACAGUAAUAUAAAUAAGUAUGGAAUAAAUAAUAUUUGUGUAAAUAGAAGUAAUAACAAUAAUAAUAUAAGUAAUUAUAAGAAUUCAUGCCGCUGCUAUAGUUGCCUUUUUAAUAUAGACAAAAAAUAUAUUACUCGUUAUUGGGCCGAAUAUAAUAAGCCGAAAAUAGACGAGUCCAAAAUAAAUGAACUGAGAGAACAAUUUGAAAUUUUAAAAGAUUACAAUGAUAAAGAUUUAAUGAUAUGGUUAGAAUCUUUUAACAAAAUGGAUAAAGACCAUGAUAAUUUUAUUUCUCAUGCAGAUUUACAAAAGAGUGAUUGGAGUUUAGAAAAAUAUACACUUUUCCAAGGUUAUGACAUGGAUAAAAAUAAUUUAAUCGAUUUUGGUGAAUAUAUACAAGCAGUCAUUGCUAUAGAUACACAAUAUUUCAAAAACUUUUUUCAAGAUUUUAGUAAAAUUGACAUCGACCUAGAAUUUCAAAAAUAUGCAAUUACUGAAAAAGAAAAUGACAAAAAGGUUAUCCCUUUAACAAAAUUAAUGCAAAUGUUAAAAGAUAAAGAAUUUACGUGUGUAACCGAAACGGACUCUAUUAAAUUAUUUAAUGCUAUGGACAUUAAUAAGGACGGAAGUAUAGAUUUUGAGGAUUUUGUUCAGGUAUCUAUAAAAAAUAUAACAUAACACUAUAGCGUAGUGUAACACAUAUAUAUAUAUAUAUAUAUAUAUA
rnacentral:lncRNA from 1 species